rnacentral:lncRNA from 1 species
AAGGGCCUAAGCCACUUAGUGAGAUCCCUUCUCAAAGUUAAAAACUAAAAAGGGCUGGGGAUGUUGCUCAGUGGUUAAGCACCCUUGGGAACCAGUAACAGAGACAGACAGACACACACACACACACACACACACACAUCUAAAGCCUACUUUAUGUUCAGAUAGCAAUCCCUUCUCUCAUCCAGAUUUACUAACCCAAUAGAUCUUCCCCUUAUUUAAGUUAACCCAUCUCACUGAACUAAACUAGUCCAUCAUAGGAUGCUUUAUUGAAUUAUUCUUUUACCCAACCAAAUUUACCCUCCUAGUGCAUGCUAGGGCAAGCAAUAAUGGAAACUUAGUAUUUGACCAACAUUGGCAUUAGGUUUUAACAUGUUUUUAAGUGUUUUCAUUCCAUUUUCAUGAGUCACUACACAAGACAUAAGUAGUACAUACUGACUGGUAAUUUAAGGAUGGGCACUCUCUAAAUUAUUUAUUCCACAAACAUGCUGCAUUAAAAACAACCAUAAAUCCCUCAUGGUACGUGUUCUGAACGCUUAUUUAACUGACAAGCAUUUGACUGGGUUUUCUGCUAUGACUGCGCUCUCUGUGGGUUAUGAAGGUAACUCUGCUGAUUUUGCUGAUCGAGGAUGACCUGGACUGGGACUUUACAAGUUGUUUCUGCAUGAUGAUGUGUCUUUUAUCUAACAGUAACAUAGCCC